rnacentral:rRNA from 1 species
UACGGAGGGAGCAAGCGUUACUCGGAAUUACUGGGCGUAAAGGGCGCGUAGGCGAUUUUAUAAGUCUUGUGUGAAAGCCCCGUGCUUAACGCGGGAAGUGCAUAAGAUACUGUAGGAAUUGAGUCCCGGAGAGGAAGAUGGAAUUCCCGGUGUAGCGGUGAAAUGCGUAGAUAUCAGGAGGAACACCAAUAGCGAAGGCAGCUCGCUGGGACGUUACUGACACUGAGGCGCGAAAGCGUGGGGAGCGAACAGG